rnacentral:rRNA from 1 species
GACGAACCGUGCGAACGUUGUUCGGAAUCACUGGGCUUAAAGGGCGCGUAGGCGGUCUGCCAAGUCAGGGGUGAAAGCCUCCAGCUUAACUGGAGAAGUGCCUUUGAUACUGGCGGACUCGAGGGAGGUAGGGGUAGUGGGAACUUCCGGUGGAGCGGUGAAAUGCGUUGAUAUCGGAAGGAACGCCGGUGGCGAAAGCGCACUACUGGACCUUCACUGACGCUGAGGCGCGAAAGCCAGGGGAGCAAACGGG